CCAUAUGACAGUACUUCACUUCGAAUUUUUUUUUUCUAUAAGAUAUUAGGAUUUUAUUUAUAUAAAAAGGAAUACAAUUCAUAUCAACAUUACUAAGGCUUUAGGCCUAUAGAUCAUAAAGCCCAAGCCUAAAAGGAAUAUAACAAUUACAUGUUACUAAGGCCCACAACAAGAAUAACCUAAGAGACAACAAACCUUAGCACUCCAGAUCCAUCUUGACUCAACUCGACCUAGCUGAAAGAAGCCCAUGCCGCCACUGUUUACGGAGAAGAACGUUGGGCAUCGUCUUUGGCAGUAACAAGUGAAAAGGAGAAAACUCUCUAUAAUAGACGUGAAGGCCAUACAAAUCUUAAAGAAGCAUAAGGGAGAAAGACAGCUAAAAAACCACUAACUUCAAAAACUAAAACGGUAAGAGAAACGCGGUCGAUAGCAAAUAGAAGCACAAGCAACAAAGGAUCAAGACAUAUAGAAAGAGGUCGGCUCUAGGAGAUAUCCUCGGUUGCACCUCCUGCUCAUCAUCAAAGUCAAGAGAGAAAAAUCUCUAAAAAUCAGCCAUGCAAAAGAAGAAAUGAAGGUAUUUUGUCAAGCCACCACCCCACCUUUUUCGUCUGGCUUGAAUGAUACCUCCUUUGUCUAGUUUGAAUGGCACCUCCAAUGAAAACCCAGAAAGAAAGAUCUCUAGAUUUAUAAAAUAAUGGCACCUCCCAUAAAAACCUAGAAGGGAAGAUCUCCACAUCUAUAAAAUAAAAUAAAAAUACGAUGAAAACAUAAUCUAAAGAAAUGGCAGCAAAAAAAGCCACUAAGCCACUAUUAUUGAAACGUUGCCAAUAACUAAACAACAAAAGUAAAAACCUAUCUACAACUCUCCUCAACAGUGGAGAGACGAACUCAAAUUGAGCAUAGG
rnacentral:lncRNA from 1 species